rnacentral:lncRNA from 1 species
GUCGUUCUGCCUCUGCAAUGGCCAAUAGCCGAGUAUCUCUCAGGUCUAAUGGAUUACCAGCAAUUGUCCAUCUUCCCCUGUGCAUAUCCACAUCCAAAUCAACUUUUCAAAUGCAAGUCCAGAUCAUACAUGAAAAUAAAAUGCUUGUGGGUGUGCAAAGACAUGAUUACUGAUAAAACCAUCAGCAUUCAAAUUGAAAAUAGCCAAAAGGUUAAACUUACUCCAUAUCAAUAGCAGUUUCUUCAGAACGAGGUGGUGCAGUAUAUCCAGGUUGAUAAGGCUGGCAAUAGAAUAAAACAUACCGGCGUCAUUGAAGAAUCAAAACAAGAAAAAUAUCAUCAGAAAAGAAUCUGUAAAUAAAAAACUCAUGAUACCAUUCAACAUGACAUGAAACACAUCCAGACCAAAAGAGCAAGUCAUUUUAUUCAGAAAAAAAGUCAAUACCCCAAGAAUACAGCAGAUAAAUAUUUUCCAAUUGUAUUUCUUUAGAGGAAAGAAGGCAUUACAAUCAUAGACAAUGCACUGUGUGAAAUAAAGAAGGCAUCCAACCAGAACUAGGAAGGCGGGAAGCCCAACAAACAUCCAAUCCCAAAAAGUUCCAGACUUCACAAGGAAUGAGCUACAGGAUCAAGGUUACAAUAACAAGAAUAAAAUAGAAAGAAUUAUACGUGAGGGGAGAAGAGUCCAACAUCCUAACCAAAAGUCCCAUGCUAAAAGAUAGGUAAGAUUAAUUCAUUGAACCAACGUUUCACCAACGCCUGAAGUCUGAGCAAACAUAGCUACUAAUGUCCUAAGACUGAAGUCUGAGCAUACACCAACGCCUCUCUAGCUACUAAUGCCUCAUCCACCAUCACAGUCACAUUAAAGAACCUGCAUCUUCAUAGCAGCCACCCCUUACGUCCACCAAGUCUAACAAUAAUCCCAAACAAGCUUGCACCAAACAUAGCACAUUCAAACCAGUAUCCCAUAUUUACUUCUGGUUAAAGCAUUUGGAGGGAGGAAUGCACCUCUGCACGUGCUGCUCAUCUUUUUCUCCUCCCAGUGUUGUAACAAUCUUCUGUGAUGAUACACUCAAACUAUCGAAAAAAGAAUGCACCCCAUUGACCAAAAAAAACAGAUCAUUGUGUGAGCUAUUAUACUAAACCACUGUUAUGGUUUUCUCAGAGAUGAAUGUAUCAAAGAAAGCAGGGCUUGGAGAGCUUAGACAAAAGAGAUUGGUCCAGAGUAGAGACAAAUUUACAGAGAAGAAAAAGGGCAAAAGUCUCUUCAUCCUUGGGGUUUCUAGAGUAGCAAAUUCUCUUUCUCGACUUUUAUAGUUUUCCCCUACACCAGCAAGUCAGCAACCAAAACAAAUUAUGAAGCAUAUGGUUUUCUCCCUUUCGUUUUCAAGUGCCCAACAUGAAUGAUACAUUUCCAAUAUACAAUAUGACGAAAUUGGGAGGCAUACACUAUACAUCUCAUUUAUGAUUAAAAAUAAAACCCCAUCAGGUGCAUGCCUUUUAGAGGUAGAAGAGAUGCCCCUCUUAAGCAUCCACGCACUUUUAUGCAUGUAACCAAGAAUAAUGAAAAUUUUGAAUUCCCAAUGUAAAACCUACAUUUUUCAAAACUCAAGGAGCUAUGAGUUCCAAAAGAGGAUACUAACAGGGUAACUUGCACGCAAGCUAAAGUAUAAAGAUUAUAUUAUACAUUUAUUUGAAAUUCAAAAAUUGCAAAAAUUUUAAAAUUAAUAAUAUUGUAGUCGACAUAUCAAAUCAAAAGCAUCAUACAUACCUG